GACGAACGCUGGCGGCGUGCCUAUACAUGCAAGUCGAACGAGAGCGACCGGUGCUUGCACUGGUCAAUCUAGUGGCGAACGGGUGAGUAACACGUGGGUAACCUGCCCAUCAGAGGGGGAUAACAUCCGGAAACGGAUGCUAAAACCGCAUAGGUCUUCGAACCGCAUGGUUUGAAGAGGAAAAGAGGCGCAAGCUUCUGCUGAUGGAUGGACCCGCGGUGCAUUAGCUAGUUGGUGAGGUAACGGCUCACCAAGGCCGUGAUGCAUAGCCGACCUGAGAGGGUGAUCGGCCACAUUGGGACUGAGACACGGCCCAAACUCCUACGGGAGGCAGCAGUAGGGAAUCGUCCGCAAUGGACGCAAGUCUGACGGAGCAACGCCGCGUGAGUGAAGAAGGUUUUCGGAUCGUAAAACUCUGUUGUUAGAGAAGAACAAGUGCUAGAGUAACUGUUAGCGCCUUGACGGUAUCUAACCAGAAAGCCACGGCUAACUACGUG
rnacentral:rRNA from 1 species